AUAGUACUCCCUCCGUCCCAAAAUAAGUGACUCAACUUUGUACUAUAACUUUGUACUAAGAUAGUACAAAGUUGAGUCACUUAUUUUGGGACGGAGGGAGUACUAG
rnacentral:pre_miRNA from 1 species